rnacentral:lncRNA from 1 species
UCUUAAAUAUGAGUCACCUACAAAUCACUAUCAAAUAGCUUCUCCAUUAAAGGUCUUUCCCGUUUUUUCCUCUUGAUCGUGCAAAUACCAAUGCGCAUCUAGAAACCUUUCAAUCGUUGAACCAUCUCUGAAAUGAAAGUUUAACUGAAGGUUCACAACCUCAAUUUCAAACCCUAUGCUAAAAUCUCAAAUUCAUUCAUGAAAUUAAAUUGUAAAAGAACUUACGUGCAUUCAAUAAUUUAUGGAAGCAGAAAAGUAUCCACAACCAAAACAAGAACAAAGACAAAGGCGGAUAAAGAACAUAAAAGAAAAAGCAGAGAAACCAGUGUAAGGAAAGAAGCAAACAGCAAAAAAAUGAAGGAAUCGUGAUUAUGUAAAUUUGAUAGAAGGGAAAUAAAAUGAAUUAGAGCAUUGUAUUUCUUCAGAUUCACCAAUGUAUGAAAGUAUAAUGGAUUGAAUCUUCAAAAGCAUUUUUCCCGUAAUUUGGUUCUCAUACUGCAAAUCUGCAAAUUAGUUAUUCUUAAUUUAUUCAUUAAUAGUUAAUGCACAAUAUAGCUAAGUUUACGAGGACACGGUAUACUAAGGUUCAAUAUGACAGGGAGAAAACCCCACAAAUAAUUACCUUUCCUCUCAGUGUUCAAGUAAUUGUUAUCCACAAAAUUUUAUUUGUAUAAUCUUCUAAUUUUCAUUACAUCAUAAGCUUGUUUUUUCCUGCCGCUUAUCUUUCCUUUACAUUUCUAUUCUUGGUGGAGUUUCUUGUUUUCUCAGCAUAAUCGGUUAUCACUUCAUAAAACCAUCAUCUCUCGAACGAUUACUAACUUUACAAUAAAAAUUUAUUGGUCAUUUUAAGCUGGAUUAAUGCUCCAAAGUUCUAAUAAGCUGAGGAUGAACUUUAUUUUUCAUUAUGGUUAAGAUAUCUCAUUGGAUCUAACUUUCAAUCCCAUAAGUCGGUAGGAGAUUUUUUAAGGGAUGCAAUAAAAAAUUCAACUGGGAUAUAUACGAAUUUUGUCUGCCACAUGCUUGCAAAGAAAACCGCCCCUUAUUCCUCUCUAAUCUUACUACAUUUAUGUCUAUUACGCUACAUAUGCAAGCCUUCGGCCCUUCGCAGUAAAGACUUUUCAGUAAGUGUCAUAGCAGCAAAGACUUUUUGAUAAGUGCUUUAGCAAUAAAGACUUGGAUAAGAAGACUUAGAAAAAACAAAGUAUUUUUUUAUCACUAACUUUUAUCUUUAAUUAGAACUUGUUUGGCAUAAAGUAAAUUUUGAGUUGUCUAAAACAUAUGUUGAUUCGAAUAGGUCGUAUAAUGGGCACUUCUGAGACUAAAUUUCCAUUUUAAUAGUACGUAUAACAUGUAGUUCACUCCAAUAAUGGAGCAAAGCCUAUGCAUGUACGCAAUUGACUUAACAUAGUUGAAAGUUAUAAAUUAGCUAUAGAUUAUUACUUCCAAAUUGUGCAUACAAUUUAGCUUGAAAACUGCGAAUAUUUUGCAGCUAUUUAUGCUUCAACUCAACUGCAGCUUAGAUAUUUGUAGCGUAUACCUGAAAGCUAUAUAGAAACUGCUAAAUUCCUACUUGUUAAAUUUUUUAAAGUAAUUAAUGGACAAUUCUAUGAUUAAUGGACCAAGAAGUAUUCUUUUUGUUUUGCCUUUCCUGAACCUCCUGGAUAUCAGCCUCUAUGAACUUUAAGUUAUUCUUUAAUUCUUCAAACAACUGCUCAUGCAUCAUCAUCAAAGUAUAUCAUUUAAGAGUUACAUAUAAACAAUACUAAUAAGUGGAAGGAAAUAUAAAAAAAGGAGGAAAAUGUUGCUUUCCGAGAAAGGUGAAAAGAAAUUAUUACCUGUUUUAGAGCCCCAUAAUCUUGCGGAACUGAAAGAAUUAGUUGCUCUUUACUACAUUUGCUUGCACUUUCUGAACAAAAGAACCAAGUAAGAGACACACAUGCAUGCAUAGAGAAUCAAUUUUUACUUAUCAGUUCUUUGAGAGAAAGUAUGUAUAAGUUGAAGAAUGCAGCGUCACAAGGUCUAAAACUUGCCACGCAAAACCAAGAAUGUUUUGUAUCUACUUUCUAUUCGGACCAUAUAAAAGCAAGGUAAAAAUAUCAAGAGUGAUGGCACUCUUAAAGGUUGCAAUGCCUUUUGAUGACCCUCGAGGGAAAAAAAGAAGAUUCAUAAAACCAUUCUUACCUAUUGGGGUCUUCUGCAACUGUUAGUGCAAGUGAUGAGAGAUUUUUAUUAGUCUUAUAUCUCCAGUACAAGAAUUGAUCAGGUCCUGGACCUAGGUAGCUGCUUCAAUGCUGCAACCUGUCUAAUAAAUGUUAAAUAGCAAUGGAACAUAAAACCAAAAAAAUUAGUUAAUGCUUUUUCGGGAAGAAACAUGUCGUGGAGAGUCUUAUUUCCUUCAAGAGAUUUUAUCUACUAACAUUUUAUAGGCAUCAGUGGUGCUCAUAUCAUGUAAGAUUUAAAAGAGAAAUGAAAAGAAGCUGACAAGAAACUAAAGAUUAAACAAAUUUGUGUAACAGAAAUCACAUGCCACAAAAAACAUGGAGAAAGACAGACAGCAAUAUGUAAUCAUAAAAUAUCAAAAACACCGAAACCAAAUUAGGACACCAAAAACAAAGAACAAAUCAUUAAUAAUUUCAGUUGAUGAACAAAUCGUUUGAUAACAUAAAAGUGUUACAUUAGUCACCAGUCGAUUAUAGAUACAUGCAUGUACAAAUCAAUACACCAAGCAAGACAAGAAAUAGAUUAGAAAGAAAAUUACCACAAACGUACAACAGUAGAAGCAACCACAGGACAAGCAAUCGAACCAUAUGCGAUUAGAACAACAUAAAGUGAAAAAAUGGAAGAGAAAGCAACGAAUUUUCAAGCACAAUGAAAAGGGGGGAAAUGGUGGCUUAAAAGUGAAAAAGAGUGGGAAUUAGGGCUGAAGAGAAAAUGGAGAAAUAGAGACCAGCGGUAAA